AACGAACGCUGGCGGCAUGCCUAACACAUGCAAGUCGAACGAGACCUUCGGGUCUAGUGGCGCACGGGUGCGUAACGCAUGGGAACCUGCCCUUAGGUUCGGAAUAACUCCCCGAAAGGGGUGCUAAUACCGGAUAAUGUCUUCGGACCAAAGAUUUAUCGCCUUUGGAUGGGCCCGCGUUGGAUUAGCUAGUUGGUAGGGUAAAAGCCUACCAAGGCGACGAUACAUAGCUGGUCUGAGAGGAUGAUCAGCCACACUGGGACUGAGACACGGCCCAGACUCCUACGGGAGGCAGCAGUGGGGAAUAUUGGACAAGGGGCGAAAGCCUGACACAGCAAGGCCGGGUGAGUGAUGAAGGCCUUAGGGUUGUAAAGCUCUUUUAACCGGGAUGAUAAUGACAGUACCGGGAGAAUAAGCUCCGGCUAACUCCGUG
rnacentral:rRNA from 1 species